GUCCACGCCGUAAACUAUGGAAGCUAGCUGUUAUAAGUAUCGACCCUGGUAGUAGCGAAGCUAACGCGUUAAGCUUCCCGCCUGGGGAGUACGGUCGCAAGAUUAAAACUCAAAGGAAUUGACGGGGACCCGCACAAGCGGUGGAGCGUGUUGUUUAAUUCGAGGCUAAGCGAAGAACCUUACCAAGGUUUGACAUCCUGGGAAAGUCCCAGAAAGGGGACCGUGCCUUCGGGAACCCAGUGACAGGUGAUGCAUGGCCGUCGU
rnacentral:rRNA from 1 species